AACGCACCUUGCGCCCUUUGGUAUUCCGAUGGGCAUGCCUGUUUGAGUGUCUUGAAAUCAUCAAACCCCCGGUUUUGCGAUCGCGGGGCUUGGACUUGGGGGCUCUGCUGCCGCGAGGCGGCUCCCCUUAAAUGCAUCGGUCGGGCCUACUGGGGCUCCGUCACCUGGGCGUUGUAUUACCCUCGCUCUGCCGACGUGCCACAGCUUUGCGUGCCCGACCCCGACCUGCCUCUGGAGCGGCGGUCAACACUCUUUGAGAUCUGACCUCAAAUCAGGUAGGACUACCCGCUGAACUUAA
rnacentral:misc_RNA from 2 species